rnacentral:rRNA from 1 species
CCUACGGGGUGCACCAGUUGCGAAAACUUGUCAAUGCACGAAAGUGUGAACGGGCUACCCCGAGUGCCGUCCGCUGAGGAUGGCUUUUCUCUGCUGUAAGAAGGCGGAGGAAUAAGGCGAGGGCAAGUCUGGUGUCAGCCGCCGCGGUAAA